CGCAUCUGUGCAUGCAGCAUAUCAAUAAGCGGAGGAAAAGGCUGACGAAAGCAGACUGACCGGCUACCUACGCUUAGGAUGUUGAAGAUGUAGCACAUCAUACACGCAUGACACACUGCAUAUCAAUAAGCGGAGGAAAAGAAACUAACAAGGAUUCCCUUAGUAACGGCGAGUGAAGCGGGAAGAGCUCAAAUUUGAAAUCUUCAAGGUUUUACCUUGACGAAUUGUAGUUUAAAGAAGUGUUUUCUGUUGGAGUUUUGGUAAAAGUUCUUUGGAAUAGGACAUCAUAGAGGGUGAGAAUCCCGUAUUUGACCAUUAUUUCCAGCUUUGUGAUACACUUUCAAAGAGUCGGAUUGUUUGGGAAUGCAGUCCAAAAUGGGUGGUAAAUUUCAUCUAAAGCUAAAUAUUGGCGAGAGACCGAUAGCGAACAAGUACCGUGAGGGAAAGAUGAAAAGAACUUUGAAAAGAGAGUUAAACAGUACGUGAAAUUGUCAAAAGGGAAGCGUUUGACACCAGUGUUGUUUUCUCGAAAAUCAAUUAAAAAAGGCGGGAUUUUGUGUUGUAUUGACCUUAUCAGCUUUCUGCACUCUUUUCCUAGUCUUUUUUAAUGCACUUUUCGUUUAACAAGUCAACAUCAAUUUCUUUUGUUGUAAAAGGGUCAUUGGAAGGUGGCUUUCUUUUCGGAGAAAGUGUUUAUAGCCUUUGGCCUCUGCAAUCGGAGAGAUUGAGGUCUGCAGCGUAGAUCCUUCGGGGUUAGAUACAUUGGUGCUAAGUUAUAGCCUUGUCAUAGACAACUUGUUGACUAUGCAUCAGUCAUGUAGCUUACUCGCUGAUGCUAUUUUACCUACGCUUAGGAUGUUGAGCGCAUGUCUCUCUCU
rnacentral:rRNA from 1 species